rnacentral:rRNA from 1 species
UGCGUAGGCGGAAUAAUAAGUCAGUGGUGAAAUCCUGCGGCUCAACCGUAGAACUGCCAUUGAUACUGUUAUUCUUGAAUUUAGUUGAGGUAGGCGGAAUGUGUAAUGUAGCGGUGAAAUGCUUAGAUAUUACACAGAACACCGAUUGCGAAGGCAGCUUGCUAAACUAAUAUUGACGCUGAUGCACGAAAGCGUGGGGAGCGAACAGGAUUAGAUACCCUGGUAGUCC